AGUGAAUAACAAUAAAUUUGAUAGAUCAUAUUAAAAAUUUUAUCUGUUUAAACGUAAAAAUUUAUUUUGAAGUAUAUUAUAAAAAUUUUAGUAAUUGAAAUAUAUAAUUAUAAAAAAUUAAUAAUAUUUUGUGUUAUAUAUUAUUGUAAUUUUGGAUAUUUUUAUAGAUUUUAACUUUUUUCUAGCAUUUGGAUAUAAUUUCCUUAAAUUAGAAGAAUUUAUAUUUAUAUAUCUACAAUUAUGAUUGAAAAAAAAUUAAAUAAAAAAACUAUAAUUGUGAUUAGGAUAUAAUUGGUGGAUUUAAAAUAAAAAAUAAAAUAAAUUU
rnacentral:lncRNA from 1 species